UUUCCGUAGGUGAACCUGCGGAAGGAUCAUUAUUGUAUAACCGAGGUGCGAGGGCUGUCGCUGACCCGAAAGGUCGUGCACGCCCGAGUGCCCUCACACACAUCCAUCUCACCCCUAUGUGCACCACCGCGUGGGUCCCCCUUGGGCUUGUUCGGAGGGGGGCUUACGUUUUCACACAAACUUUGUAUGCAGUGUAGAAUGUAUUUUUUGUUUUUGCGAUCACGCAAUCAAUACAACUUUCAACAACGGAUCUCUUGGCUCUC
rnacentral:misc_RNA from 1 species